rnacentral:rRNA from 1 species
GACGAACGCUGGCGGCGUGCUUAACACAUGCAAGUCGAACGGAAAGGCCCUGCUUUUGUGGGGUGCUCGAGUGGCGAACGGGUGAGUAACACGUGAGUAACCUGCCCUUGACUUUGGGAUAACUUCAGGAAACUGGGGCUAAUACCGGAUAGGAGCUCCUGCUGCAUGGUGGGGGUUGGAAAGUUUCGGCGGUUGGGGAUGGACUCGCGGCUUAUCAGCUUGUUGGUGGGGUAGUGGCUUACCAAGGCUUUGACGGGUAGCCGGCCUGAGAGGGUGACCGGCCACAUUGGGACUGAGAUACGGCCCAGACUCCUACGGGAGGUAGCAGUGGGGAAUAUUGCACAAUGGGCGGAAGCCUGAUGCAGCAACGCCGCGUGCGGGAUGACGGCCUUCGGGUUGUAAACCGCUUUCGCCUGUGACGAAGCGUGAGUGACGGUAAUGGGUAAAGAAGCACCGGCUAACUACGUG